UACGUAGGGUGCGAGCGUUGUCCGGAAUUACUGGGCGUAAAGAGCUCGUAGGUGGUUUGUCGCGUUGUUCGUGAAAACCGGGGGCUUAACCCUCGGCGUGCGGGCGAUACGGGCAGACUUGAGUACUGCAGGGGAGACUGGAAUUCCUGGUGUAGCGGUGGAAUGCGCAGAUAUCAGGAGGAACACCGGUGGCGAAGGCGGGUCUCUGGACAGUAACUGACGCUGAGGAGCGAAAGCGUGGGGAGCGAACAGG
rnacentral:rRNA from 1 species